CCCGGCACAAGCGGUGGAGCAUGUGGUUAAUUCGAAGCAACGCGAAGAACCUUACUUGGCCUUGACAUGCUGAGAACUUUCCAGAGAUGGAUUGGUGCCUUCGGGAACUCAGACACAGGUGCUGCAUGGCUGUCGUCAGCUCGUGUCGUGAGAUGUUGGGUUAAGUCCCGUAACGAGCGCAACCCUUGUCCUUAGUUACCAGCACGUAAUGGUGGGCACUCUAAGGAGACUGCCGGUGACAAACCGGAGGAAGGUGGGGAUGACGUCAAGUCCUCAUGGCCCUUAUGGGUAGGGCUUCACACGUCAUACAAUGGUCGGUACAGAGGGUUGCCAACCCGCGAGGGGGAGCUAAUCCCACAAAGCCGAUCGUAGUCCGGAUCGCAGUCUGCAACUCGACUGCGUGAAGUCGGAAUCGCUAGUAAUCGUGGAUCAGCAUGUCACGGUGAAUACGUUCCCGGGUCUU
rnacentral:rRNA from 1 species